GAGGUAAUAGCUCAGUGGUAGAGCUCAUGCUUAGCAUGCACAAGGUCCUGGGUUCAAUCCUCAGCACCUCU
rnacentral:tRNA from 1 species